CGACCGGCGCACGGGUGAGUAACACGUAUGCAACCUGGCCGUGACAGAUGGAUAACCGGGAGAAAUCCCGCCUAAUACAACAUAAUGCCGGGAGGGGACAUCCCCUGCCGGCCAAAGGGGGCGACCCCGGUCACGGAUGGGCAUGCGGCGCAUUAGGUAGUUGGUGGGGCAACGGCCCACCGAGGCGACGAUGCGUAGGGGUUCUGAGAGGAAGGUCCCCCACACUGGUACUGAGACACGGACCAGACUCCUACGGAAGGCAGCAG
rnacentral:rRNA from 1 species